rnacentral:misc_RNA from 1 species
CAGAGUUCAUGCCCUUACGGGUAGAUCUCCCACCCUGUGUUAUUGUUACCUUUGUUGCUUUGGCGGGCCGUCUAGCUUCGGCCAGACUACCGGCUCCGGCUGGUAUGUGCCCGCCAGAGGACCCCAAACUCUGAAUGUUAGUGUCGUCUGAGUACUAUAUAAUAGUUA